rnacentral:lncRNA from 1 species
UUACAUUCUGCCAACGCAGCUUCAGCUGACAGCAUGCUACAUCAUCUAUUUUUCUUUGUACCAAGAGUGGAAGGGCUGCCCAGCUCAGCACGACUCUCUCCCUGACUUAUCGCAUGGAGAACCACCCCACGUGCGUGGAUCUGCAAGGAGAGGUUAAGAUCACUCCAGGCUCACUCAUCUUGACAGAGGAAGAGCAGAAUUCGCCCCAUAGUCCACUCUAACACAUUCACAUGGGGAAGAGCGCUCCGCCUUUAGAAGCAUAAAGGGACCUCUGACCACAGCGAGGAGGGGGCUGCGGUGUUACCAUCCUGACUCAUCUAAACGAUUCCAAAGAAAACAGACAUUGUUGAGAGAAGAAAUGCCGUGUCCAGGUAAGCUUCAUUUAUUGCAGGGCGACAGUGUCAGCUCAGAGAAAUUCAUCAGCUGAAUCAGUCAUGACGAAACUGG